rnacentral:lncRNA from 1 species
GAAGCUGCGAAGAUGGCGGAGUAAGGCGUGCCGCUGCAAACUGGCCUCUGGGCCGGGGGCGAGCAGCCCCCGGGAGGCCGAGUGCAUCUGUUGGACCGUGCGAGGAGAAGAAAAAAAAUAUCGGCCAGAGGAGAGGAACUAACCGAACAUUCUUCCUCCCUACCUUAUAGAGGGGAGUGGUCAUCUACACUAAAGCAAAGUGUUAGGCGCGUCCGUGCGAAGAGACCACCAAACAGGCUUUGUGUUCCUUAUCACAGGAAGAAAAUUUUCCUUGACCUUUAGGUGCUUUUAUAUUCAUCUCAAAAACAAAAUUCUGAACUCAGGACUUGGCAAGAGGUGCAAGCGAAGAUGCAGUGCUACCUUAUUUUUCAUUUUUAUUUUUUGGAGACAGAGUCUCACUCUGUUGCCCAAGCUGAGUGCAGUGGUGCAAUCAUGGCUCACUGCAACCUCAACCUCCAGGGUUCAAGCGAUUCUCCUGCCUCGGCUUCCUGAGUAGCUGGGACUACAGGCACCCGUUACCACGCCCAGCUAAUUUUUGUAUCUUUAGUAGAGACGGGGUUUCACCAUGUUGGCCAGGCUGGUCUUGAACUCCGGACCUGGUGAUCCACCCACUUCGGCUUCCCGAAGUGCUGGGUUUACAGAUGUGUCUCUAUGUUGUCUCCUAGAGUGGGUAGUCCUGCUUCUUUUACCCAGUUACUUUCCCGUUUUUGAAAUGUGGCUAUCACUUCUCUACACAUUACCUCCAUGAUUUGGAAUGGAAAAGGCCACUUUUCUUUUUGUUCUGCCUCUCAAAUUCAACACAGAGGAGCUCCUAGGAUUCCAGUUAUCCUGCUAACAUCUCCAGGAAGAAAGAAGCAACUCACAUGGGUCUUUUGCUGUUUGCUUAAUUAUAAAGACAUCAUUUUGCAAGCAGAAGGCUGAGUUUCAUUUGAAACAGGUGCUUAGGUGGUGGUAUUUGUGAAUACUUUUCAUUCCAAGCAAGAAGACUAAAGAAGUAGCAAGUAUGAAUGACUUCAGGGUUUAAAAAAAAUGUCUUCCAGUUUCAGCCACUACCAUGAUAAGCACAGUUGAGACUGCAGCAGUAAAUUCCAAAUAUGUGUUUCUAAUUUGACGUGAAAGAUACUAAAAAUUUAUAUUUGUAUAUUUAAAUCCUGGCUCAUCCUGUGACAUAGAUUUACUGAAUAGGAACAAAGGCCCAAUUUUAAACAAAAACCUAGGCCGGGUGUGGUGGCUCACACCUGUAAUCCCAACACUUUGGGAGGCCAAGGCAGGCAAAUCACCUGAGGUUGGGAGUUUGAGACCAGCCUGACCAACAUGGAGAAACCCCAUCUCUACUAAAAAUAGAAAAUUAGCCAGGUGUGGUGGUAGAUACGUGUAAUCCCAGCUACUCGUGAGGCUGAGGCAGGAGAAUUGCUUGAAUCCGGGAGGCGGAGGUUGCAGUGAACUGAGAUUGCACCACUGCACUCCAGCCUGGGCGACAGAGUGAGACUCCGUCUCAGAAAAAUAAAAAACAACUUUGGACAUAGAGGAGUUGGGGGCAGAGGGGGGAGGAUGAGAGAAUUUUCCAUGUAACUCCUUUUCCUUAAGAAAAAGAAGCAAAAAUCCCUCAUGCAGUGCCAUCUGACUUUAUGGUGUUUCACAUUAUAUAGUUACUUUUUUUAAUAAACGCAUAAGAUUAACUCUUCCUGCAACCCAAGGUGGAUACUUGGAUGUUUGAUUUUUAUUUAUUUAUUUAUUUAUUUUUUGAGGCAGUCUCUCUCUGUUGCCCAGGCUGGAGUGAUGCGUGAUUUCUGCUCACUGCAGUCUCUCCCACCCGGGUUCAAGCGAUUCUCCUGCCUCAGCCUCCCAAGUAGCUAGGAUUACAGGCGCGCACCACCACGCUCAGCCUGAUUUCUAGGCUGAAAAGGCUGGGACUCAGGUACUUUCCCCAGUUGGGACUGAACUUUCUCAUCAGAGAAUGGGCCUCAGAAGCAAUGUUCCCAAACUUGUGGUUGGGUCAUCGUGGAAAAGAAACCUCAAAUAAGAAAAAUAAUUACAAUAAGAAA